CGGUGAUACACUAACUCAAAGUUAACUUCUAUUAGUUAUUUAAAUUACCUAACCAUAAUUAAGAUCUUAAUAGUGAAAAGUACAUAUUUCAUACAAUAAUACAUCUAAAUCACCAAAAGUUAAACAAGAAACAAGGAUUAGAUACCCUUCUAUCCUAAACUUAAACCAACCAAGAAGUAAAAUCAAACAAAAACUUAACUAGAAUGGCAGUAAGAAACCCAUCAGAGAAGGCUGUACUAUAACCGAUAACCCUCGUUAAUCACCCCCUAACCUAACAUUUUAUAUAUCGCCAUUGAAAUCUUACUUAAGAUAAGAUUAAAUUAAGAUUUACACUUAGUCAACAGGUCAAGAUAUAAAUCAUGGUUAGGUGAGAUAUUGCCUGCAAAUAUCAACAAUUAAUUAAACUAUCAUUAUUCAGCAGUUUAAACUAGGAUCUGACUGUAAUUACGCCUACUUAAUAGCAUCUUGACCCACUAAAUUCCUUAUGCACAUAUUGCCCGUCACCCUCAUAAGAGGCAAGU
rnacentral:rRNA from 1 species